GACGCGGUAUGACGUGACUAGAUAUUCUCCGGACGAGGUGCGCCGUACCCGGUCAAGACAAGACGACGCCAC
rnacentral:ncRNA from 1 species